rnacentral:rRNA from 1 species
UACGUAGGGGGCGAGCGUUAUCCGGAUUCAUUGGGCGUAAAGCGCGUGUAGGCGGUCCGUUAGGUCGGGAGUCAAAUCCGGGGGCUCAACCCCCGCCCGCUCCCGAUACCGGCGUACUUGAGUUCGGUAGGGGAAAGUGGAAUUCCAAGUGUAGCGGUGGAAUGCACAGAUAUUUGGAAGAACACCGGUGGCGAAGGCGGCUUUCUGGGCCGUAACUGACGCUGAGACGCGAAAGCUAGGGGAGCAAACA